rnacentral:lncRNA from 1 species
AUUUUAUAACUGGUUGGAAAAUUUGGAAAAUUGGUAAAAAAUGCUCUUCUACAGAUCUAAGUAAGAUUUCUGCCAGUAGACUGCCAUAGGGUUUCCUAUAGAUAUUCUGAGUGUUUGUUGGUAAACUCUACCCUUUAAGGUGUAAUAAGAAUUAGCAGAAUAGAUGUGCUAUAUCCUAUCCCUCAAUAAACUGGUUAUAUUACUUGCCUGAAGUAUAUUCUCCAUCAAAAACCUGUAAAAGGCUAGCAUGUAGGCUCUAGACAGGGAUGAGUAAAGACUCAAAGUCAAAAGUUGUAAACCAGUUACUUAUUUCAAGAUUUAUAUUAGGGAGUUUCUUAAGUACUGAAGAAUUUAUUAAGGUUGAUCUGUCUAAUCCUCCCAAUAACACAUUGCAUCAUUUUAGAGUUUUUUCUAAGUUAUAUAUAGGCAAUACCCCUUUUUUUCUGCAAUUGGCCUUGAUGGGAGAGGAUCUUAAUAGGUCUUAAUAUAAGCAAAAAGCCUGGGACAUGUCGGUGCAUCUACUUUCUUACAGUUCAACAAUGUGGGAAGGAUUUGUGGUUAGUGAGCUUGUUCACUUUAGUUAUUAAUGUAGAUGGGUCUUUGGUUAAUUCCUUAGUAUUAGUUUGUCAGAUAUAAGAUUGAAGAAAUGCAUCAUAGAUUCCCCUAUCAAGGAGUACUAUUUUCUUGGUCUUAUCUUCUCUAGUUAUUGUGUAAUUGUUGUUAUCCAACCAGGUUAAAGUUCUUCUAAGUAGAUGGGCAUAUUGUGACAUACAUACUUAAUAUUCAUUAUUAAUAUUCCUCCUACUAGCUUUUUGAUUGAGAUAAGACCACCUCAGUCUUUCCUGUUCUAAGUCAUCUAUUGUGCUAAGUAGUUCUUCUAUUACAGAAAUAUCUUCAUGUAUAGUGGAAAAUGAUCUUAAAGUACAGGGAAGGACCUUUCAUAAAAAAGCUGCUGGGCAUAGGGGGUAAAGUGAUUUUCUCUAUGAUCUUUAUUGUUUGAUUUAUGCUCAGGUGUGUUUUCUCAUUUUUUCUAAGCUGGUGCUUAAAGAUCUAAGAAUUUUGAAAAUAUGUUAGUUAUGAAAAAUGUC